rnacentral:rRNA from 1 species
GACGAACGCUGGCGGCGUGCUUAACACAUGCAAGUCGAACGGAAAGGCCCUGCUUUUGUGGGGUGCUUGAGUGGCGAACGGGUGAGUAACACGUGAGUAACCUGCCCUUGACUUUGGGAUAACUUCAGGAAACUGGGGCUAAUACCGGAUAGGAGCUCCUGCUGCAUGGUGGGGGUUGGAAAGUUUCGGCGGUUGGGGAUGGACUCGCGGCUUAUCAGCUUGUUGGUGGGGUAGUGGCUUACCAAGGCUUUGACGGGUAGCCGGCCUGAGAGGGUGACCGGCCACAUUGGGACUGAGAUACGGCCCAGACUCCUACGGGAGGCAGCAGUGGAGAAUAUUGCACAAUGGGCGGAAGCCUGAUGCAGCAACGCCGCGUGCGGGAUGACGGCCUUCGGGUUGUAAACCGCUUUCGCCUGUGACGAAGCGUGAGUGACGGUAAUGGGUAAAGAAGCACCGGCUAACUACGUG